CUACGUGCCAGCAGCCGCGGUAAUACGUAGGUCCCGAGCGUUAUCCGGAUUUAUUGGGCGUAAAGCGAGCGCAGGCGGUUAGAUAAGUCUGAAGUUAAAGGCUGUGGCUUAACCAUAGUACGCUUUGGAAACUGUUUAACUUGAGUGCAAGAGGGGAGAGUGGAAUUCCAUGUGUAGCGGUGAAAUGCGUAGAUAUAUGGAGGAACACCGGUGGCGAAAGCGGCUCUCUGGCUUGUAACUGACGCUGAGGCUCGAAAGCGUGGGGAGCAAACAGGAUUAGAUACCCUGGUAGCCCACGCCGUAAACGAUGAGUGCUAGGUGUUGGGUCCUUUCCGGGACUCAGUGCCGCAGCUAACGCAUUAAGCACUCCGCCUGGGGAGUACGACCGCAAGGUUGAAACUCAAAGGAAUUGACGGGGGCCCGCACAAGCGGUGGAGUAUGUGGUUUAAUUCGACGCAACGCGAAGAACCUUACCAGGUCUUGACAU
rnacentral:rRNA from 1 species